rnacentral:rRNA from 1 species
ACUUACCAGGUCAAGACAUGGGCGUGAUUGACAGGCUAAUGACUUUUCUCGAUUCCAUGGAUGGUGGUGCAUGGUCGCACUUAGUUGGUGCAGUGAUUUGUCAGGUUUAUUCCGGUAACGAACGAGACCUCGGCCUUGUAAAUAGCUAUGCUGCUUACAGGGACAUUGGCGGCUACGCCAAGGAAGCUCGAGGCAAUUGCAGAUCUGGAAUGCCCUUAGAUGUCCUGGGUCGCACGCGUGCUACAAUGACGCCACGAACGAGCUUGCGUGAUGAAAGUUACGCAUAAUCAGCAGUCGGCGUCUUAAGGGAUAGUCUCUUGUAACUGUGGGACUCCAACUAGGAAUGUCUCGUAAGCACAAGUCAACAUCUUGUGUUGAUUACGUCCCUGCUCUUUGUACACACCGCCCGUCGCUCCUACCGAUCGAGUGUUUAGGUGAAUUUGAUGGACGUAAGGAAGUCAAAUAAACCUGAGCACUAGAGAAGAGAAGUCGAGCAUGCC